UAGUUCCUACGGGGGGCAGCAGUGAGGAAUAUUGGUCAAUGGCCGGAAGGCUGAACCAGCCACGCCGCGUGAAGGACGAAGGUGCCAAGCAUUGUAAACUUUUUUUGUCAAGGGACAAAAUCAGGCUCGAGAGCCUGACCGAGGGUACUUGAAGAAAAAGCAUCGGCUAACUCCGUGCCAGCAGCCGCGGUAAUACGGAGGAUGCUAGCGUUAUCCGGAUUUAUUGGGUUUAAA
rnacentral:rRNA from 1 species